rnacentral:rRNA from 1 species
UACAGAGACUGCAAGCGUUAUUCGGAUUCACUGGGCGUAAAGGGCGCGUAGGCGGCGCGAUAAGUUGGGCGUGAAAGGCCCGGGCUCAACCCGGGGACUGCGCUUGAUACUGUCGCGCUGUGAGUCCGGGAGAGGAUGGCGGAAUUCCCAGUGUAGAGGUGAAAUUCGUAGAUAUUGGGAAGAACACCGGGUGGCGAAGGCGGCCAUCUGGACCGGCACUGGACGCG